UAGUAUUUAAAACCUAUCAGGAACUUAAAAUGAAAACAGUUUUCAUUUAUGAUCAUAAGGUACUUUCAUAGUUACUUUUUUGGUUCCUCUUGCUAAGGGGCAGUUUUUCCACUUUCUUUUAGAUUUCUGUUUUCAUUUCUGGAGUGUUUAGAACACAUAUAUUUGAUGGUUAAAUUCAUAGGUUUUCUUAGUCCAAAUUUUACUUUUCACUUAUACAGAAUUGAAAAUAUUCCUAAAGUGAAAGAGUAAGCUUGUUCUUUCAUCUGUAGUUGUAAAAAAUUUAGUGUAAAUGUUGUUAGGUAAUGGCAUAACCAUUCCUUUUCAGCUUUUGGUAUAUUCCACCCUGGCUGCAAAGCCAGGAGGAAGUGAAGGCAUUAGAACACUAACUUUGGUGUUGCUACCUUCUUAGUGCUGAGACUAUAUAACCUUUGUUGGUUGAUAGAGAACAAGAGACACAAUCCUCGUUCCACUAACAGCUCUCUAUUUCAGUGCUUCUCUCCUACCAGAGGUGCAAGGAGUGAUCCUAGAACCACAGAUACAGCCAAGACCACGGAGAGCUUUUGACGUCAGGGGUCCACUUUCUCCACUGAACCCUUGGAGGCAGAAUAUCCAGCUUCUGGAGAGAGUGGGAAAGGAUAAUAAACAAAUUUCUUUCAACUGGUAAACAUCAUGCUUCUUCAGCAAAAGGAACUCUUCUAGCAGAGCCUUCAUGGAUGAUAUCUGUCACACAUGCAGCACCUGCAGUUUGGAAGGCAGUGGUGAACGGAGCCAUGCAAUAUAUCUAGAAGACACCAGGAUGAGAGAGCCACCUGAUGUUGUCAUUUAUAAACUUUAAGAUUUACUCUGGUGUACUCUUGGUCUGAAAAUGGAAAGGCUCAAAUAAUAAAUUUUUUUUUCUGAUUGGAAUUUUACAUGGCCAUGAGAUAAUUCCAUUCUAUUUAGAAGACGGAAAUAGAGGAAGCAUGAGAGACUCCUUUCUUUUAAAAGAGGCUCUCUGUGUCUGUCCCACUUAAGAUUUAUGGGAUUGAAAAUCACCAGAAAUGAAUCAGGCAAACAUUUAGUUGCAUAGGACACCUAAAAUAAUGAAUCUUUAGUUGCCUGAUGCUGAUAGUAAAGGGUGAACUUCUUAAUUAAUACCAAAUUACUUUUAAUAUUAAGAUAUACUCUUAGCUUAUCUUUUUCUGGUCUUGAGCCCUACUCUUAUUUGUCAGUAAAGAUUCCAGUACAGGAGCAAAAAAAAAAAGACAUCUUUUGAGAUGAAGGUAGCUGAAUAGGUCUUGUGAAGUAGUAAAUACCCUCUAAGCUUAUGGUUUUCUGCAUUGAAGGCAUAUAUAAAGUUUGAACAAUGCUGAAAUAAAGCAGUGUUUUCUAGAGCAAAGGCAAUUAGUGGAUAAACCUCUGUGUGAAUAACUAUUGCCACAGUAGUUCCCCAAACUAUUGAUUGAUAAAAGUAGUUAUCAAUGUUUCUAUUUCUCAUUGGUAGCUAAUCAGUUAAAAGCUAUUAAAGAGGUUUUUAAAACUUGUUUGAUGCUACCAGUUUUAUGUAGUAUAAAUUUCAAGUAUAGAAAUUCUAGAGUUAUUAAAUUGGGAAGCAUCUGAAAUAUUUUUAGCUCUUUCAAAGGUUUUAGAAGCCACAUUAGCUAAAAUCUAACCUUAGUUAGUCUUGGCUAU